AUCGAAAUCAACAACCAAAUUGAAGGCGACGCGAAACCCUAAUCGAAGCGAGCGAUGACGACCCUCACCGUUGGAGAUGAUCCCCAGCCUCGAAUCCUCAUCGCCGAAGCGGAACAGGAUGGAGGAGUUAUCAGAUUCUGAAUUAGCCGCCCGCUUUUUGACUCGCGAAGAUCUAAAACUCUCGUUCGCAGAAAAGUUUGAAAAGAUUUUGGUGGCCUCUGACUUGGCCGAUGCAGAACAGUUAGGGAUGAGUUAUGUCCUCGAUCGAUUCCGUAGUGAUCCCCAAGACUACUUAUGAACUCAUUUUGAUUUGAUGAUUUGCUGCUCAUUAUCUAAAUGUUUAGGUGCGGCCAAACGUGAUCCAAGGGAUGGCAAGGAUCCACUAUACGAUCCUGACAAACCUUUACCAGAGGGAUUUGCAUGGGUUUCUGCCUUCCUUGGGGGGACUGGAAAAACUUAUGUAAGUAAGAUAUUAUGCUUUCACUGUGGUGGAAAACACAUGACUGACCAAUGCUCAAUCAAGGAUACUCCGCAGGCCAUAGAGUUCCAGAAGAAGAAUGAUCUUUUUGUCUCAGUUGACACACUAUUCCGCAGGCCAUAGAGUUCCAGAAGAACAAUGAUCUUUUUGUCUCAGUUGAGACACUCUAGUCAUGACUCCUGACACAGGCUCAGCAAGUCCCAAGUAAUGUUUUGUGUGUAUGACACUCUUGUUUCAACUAUCUACCCUAGCUACUUAUUAUUAUGGCCUAGCUACUUGUUAUUAUGGCACACCAAUCUAAUGUCAUACAUAUGCGUUGUGACAUGCACUGUAUUACCUUGUUUGAUUAUCUAUCG